rnacentral:ncRNA from 2 species
AGGGAAGCCGGUGGGAGUCCGGAGCUAUACCCGUAGCCGUAUGUGCUUGAGGUUGCCGUUCGAGGCGUGAGCCGGUCAUUGGGGCAGGGCCCUGAGAAGGCGGAACGGCAGACGCAGGAGCGAGAUCGCUCUGGAAAGGCACGAGCCGGAAGACCU